CACUCUCUCUCUCCUGCUGCAUUGUGAAGAAACUGCUUGCUUCCCUCUCACCCUCUGCAGUUUCCUGAGGCCUCCCCAGCCAUGCGGAACUCCUGCUUCCAUAUUGUAAACUGCCUUGGAACCAAUUACCACUACCAGGGAGACAAACUAUUGCUUAGAGGAUGCUGACAGGAGCAGCAUGUCAAAAUUGAAAGAAUGUUGUCUCUCAGCUGGUGCCAUUCCACCAUUCUAUCUGGCCCACUGCUUCUUACAAGAUUAAGAUAGCAGAUCCCAUGGGUGUGGGGAGGAAGUUUAAGCUCUCCUCACUAUGAGUUUUCAAGUAUAAAAGACUUUUUCUUCCACGAUGUUGAGAACAACUGUGGACUGUUGUGACCAGGACAACAGGGAAGCUUGCAGCAAGAUAGCUCCAGGUUGGAUUCAUGCUUCGCACCCCAAGGGCUGCCAGCCAGAGAGGAGGAGAAGCAAUCACUCCUGCAGUUUCUGAACACUACACAGACGCCAGGUAGCUUCUUCAGGACAACAGCCCUCUGAGGAGGCAGGAAGAGGAGGCUUCUCUUUCAGCA
rnacentral:lncRNA from 1 species